rnacentral:rRNA from 1 species
GAGUUUGAUCAUGGCUCAGGAUGAACGCUGGCGGUAUGCCUAACACAUGCAAGUCGAACGAAGUCUUCGGACUUAGUGGCGGACGGGUGAGUAACGCGUGAGAACCUGCCUCCAGGCUGGGGACAACAGUUGGAAACGACUGCUAAUACCCAAUGUGCCGAGAGGUGAAAGAUUUAUCACCUGGAGAGGGGCUCGCGUCCGAUUAGCUAGUUGGUGGGGUAAGAGCCUACCAAGGCGUCGAUCGGUAGCUGGUCUGAGAGGAUGAGCAGCCACACUGGGACUGAGACACGGCCCAGACUCCUACGGGAGGCAGCAGUGGGGAAUUUUCCGCAAUGGGCGAAAGCCUGACGGAGCAAUACCGCGUGAGGGAGGAAGGCUUUUGGGUUGUAAACCUCUUUUCUUAAGGAAGAAGAUCUGACGGUACUUAAGGAAUCAGCAUCGGCUAACUCCGUGCCAGCAGCCGCGGUAAUACGGAGGAUGCAAGCGUUAUCCGGAAUUAUUGGGCGUAAAGCGUCCGCAGGUGGCCUUUCAAGUCUGCUGUCAAAGACCAGAGCUCAACUCUGGGCCGGCGGUGGAAACUGGGAGGCUAGAGUACGGUAGGGGUAGAGGGAAUUCCCAGUGUAGCGGUGAAAUGCGUAGAGAUUGGGAAGAACACCAGUGGCGAAGGCGCUCUACU